AAGAGACAAAAAUUUGUGAAUUCUGCAUAUGAAAUCAAAUUGAGUGCUAAAUAUAUUUCUGAGAACUCCACAGAAGCAGAGAAUGAAGAAAAAGAGGACCAUUCUGUUUCAUGAAGCAGGGUAUAUAUGGGUUUAUUAAAUUAGAACUGAAGAAAAAGAAAAAAGAAAUAGAAUGGAGGGAAAUGAAUUGUAAACAUCUCAUAUAGAAAUAGGACUGUUUGCAAACAUUUUAUCCUUUACCAACAGUUUUGCAUAAAACAAAUGUACCUCUCUUAUUGUCUAGAAAAAGGAAAAAUAAGAAAAGACAAGGAAAAAGAAACAGGUUGAGUUUUUAAGUGUGAAUUAUAUACAUUCUGUUAAUAUUGGUUUCCCCCCAAACUCACAUUUUCAUAUUUUUGCACCUCCCUUUUUGUUGUCACUGACAAAAGUUGUGGAAUUUUAAAUGUGCUACUUUUUAAAGUAGAGAUAAUAAUUUAUAAGAUUAUGGAAAAAAAUUAAAGCUUGAGUUUAUUGUUCAUCCCUAUACACCAUAAUGUGCAUAUGAGACAAAAAAUUAUACUUUAAUAAUGGACAUAAUUCAUUAAUUUACAUUUUUAUCAGUAAACUUAGCAAAAGAUUACUAUCAAUUUUAAGGUAAGUAAAUGAAAAUUAAUUAGUAUAUUGACAAUAAAAUAAUUUUCAUUUAUUUGAAAAAAAUAGAUAUAGUCAUAUGUGAUAAAAGGUGGUACAAAAGCUACUAUAGUUUUUCCAAGUGUGAUGAUUUGGUUUCUGUCUCCAUUGACUAUUCACUAACUUGUAUUGUGUUUUAUGUAUAAAAGCAGUUAUAAGUUUGGGAUAUGUGGCUUAUUUUGGGGUCACACAGUUAGGAGCAGGGACAGAGACAUAUACUUAGAAAUAGUAUGGCACUAUUAAAAUCAUUUACAUGGUUUAUUUGGUAGGCAAACACUAAUGGUUGCAAUACCUAUCAACUUCUUCAAGUUGAUAGACUUCCUCAAAACUAGUAUACAAUUGGUAGGAAAAAUAUCAAGCUACAAAUUGAAGAUAUGUGUGAUCUAUUAAGUGUAGCAAGAGUGCAAACAGAUUUAUUCAUAUAGAUUUAUUUAAGUAGACAAGAAGGUGUCAAAAAUAUACAUCUAUAAAUUCUGAUCUUUGAAGACAUUUUACUUUUAGAAUUUAAAAAUAAACUCUUACAAGUAAUCAAGCCCAUACCCUUCAUUUUACAAUGAGGAAAUUGAGAUGCAGAGAGUUCCCAUGAUUGGGUCACACAGAUAGGAAGUAGCAGAGAUUUAUCUUUAGAGAUAGUUGGGCACUAUUAAAAUAUGAUUUUGAUAUAUGAAGGCAUGGAUCUGGAAUUUGUUACAAUUUGUAUGACCUUGGACAAUUUUCAACCCUUCUGUGCCUCAACUUGUUCCUCAAAUGACAAAAUUUGAUUAGCUGGUUUUUGUAGUUGAUUAGGAGUCUAUAAGUAUAAUUCUAUGUGAAGUCCAACAUUCCAUAUGCAAUCACUUUUUGAGAGAAAGAGCACUCCCUUCAUUUCAGGUAAAAAUUUUUGUAGACUUUCAGAAGUUUAUAUGCUGACGUCAUGGAAUAAACUCAUAAAACAUGAGUUGGAAAAUAUCUUAGAAAUCUUGUAUUCAAACUUGCUCAUUUCAUGGAUGAGGAGAAUGAGAGCUAGAAAAAUGAACUACUUACCUAAAAGUCACAGUGCUGGUAAGAACAAGGAUAGCUAGUUGUAAGAUUCUAUAAAGCUGUACUCCUAUUCCAUG
ensembl:lncRNA